rnacentral:rRNA from 1 species
UACGUAGGCGGUUUACUAAGUCAGAUGUGAAAGCCCCCGGGCUUAACCUGGGAACUGCAUUUGAUACUGGUAGGCUAGAGUAUGGUAGAGGGGGGGUAGAAUUCAUAGUGUAGCGGUGAAAUGCGUAGAUAUUAUGAGGAAUACCAGUGGCGAAGGCGGCCCCCUGGACCAAUACUGACGCUGAGGUACGAAAGCGUGGGUAGCGAACA